rnacentral:rRNA from 1 species
CACGUAGGGUGCGAGCGUUGUCCGGAAUUAUUGGGCGUAAAGAGCUCGUAGGCGGUGUGUCGCGUCGGCCGUGAAAACCUGCAGCUUAACUGUGGGCUUGCGGUCGAUACGGGCAUCACUGGAGUUCGGCAGGGGAGACUGGAAUUCCUGGUGUAGCGGUGAAAUGCGCAGAUAUCAGGAGGAACACCGGUGGCGAAGGCGGGUCUCUGGGCAGUAACUGACGCUGAGGAGCGAAAGCGUGGGGAGCAAACAGG